AUACGUAGGGGGCGAGCGUUGUCCGGAGUUACUGGGCGUAAAGGGCGUGUAGGCGGUUUAUUAAGUCAGGUGUGAAAUUCCAGGGCUUAACCCUGGAACUGCGCUUGAAACUGAUAGGCUUGAGGACAGGAGAGGGAAGUGGAAUCCCCGGUGUAGCGGUGAAAUGCGUAGAUAUCGGGGGGAACACCAGUGGCGAAGGCGGCUUCCUGGACUGUACCUGACGCUGAGGCGCGAAAGCUAGGGGAGCAAACAGGAUUAGAUACCCUGGUAGUCCUAGCUGUAAACGAUGAGUGCUAGGUGUGGGAGGUUGAAAUCCUUCCGUGCCGGAGUUAACACAAUAAGCACUCCGCCUGGGGAGUACGGCCGCAAGGCUAAA
rnacentral:rRNA from 1 species